ensembl:lncRNA
UCAUUCCUGGCAGCCACUGAGAUGUCUCCCUGGGCAGGACCACACAGCGAGCAGGCGGUGGCAAGCCAACAAUUCCCUCACCCAUCCACAGCACCAUGGCAUCUGGGGGCUGCAGAGCAUUUUGGGGGCUGUCUUCUGUGAAGUCCCUCUGCUCCAAUCCCCAGUUGGGACAAGCACUAUCCCCAGGUCCCCUCGGAUGGGCUUCUCAACACCUCCCUGGCUGCUGCUGGGAGUCUCGGUACUUCGCCCUGCUCCUGGGGUGGGAUGGGUGACCCCACACCCAAAGAACAGAGGUGUGAUUUUACUUUCCUUCUGCUCUGUCUGAAGGGACAGCCAGGCUCUUUUGGGGGCUUUCUGCCCUCAUUUCACUUCUUCUUUCCAGACUUGGGCUCAUGGGUGCUGCCCAGAAGAAUUUUUUUUUUUACUUCUGGUCCAAAAUGGGGAAAUUCUUAGGCAUAAAAUCCAGCUCAGCUGUGGCCCAUAAAGGACCUCAUACCGCUUAUGCUUUGUCAAGCAAUCAAGUUACAUGGUCUAACUGCAGAAAUGUAACAGAUAUAGUUUGUUUGGCUUUUAACUCACUAAAAAUGUUUAAACAUAAAAAGAGGCUUAGAACAUUUACAGUCAUAUUUGAAAUCAGAAUGUGUGAAAAAUGACUUUUCUUUUCAUAUUUGAACUCAUGCAAAACCUUUGCAGUCUCCACAAAGGCACGCAGAUGCAGCGAUGGGACCUCAUGAUGGAUUGUUGGUGUGAGCACAUGGACGUGAAACCAUGAACAGAGGAAUUUGCACAGGCCAGCAUUUGUGUUUCAUUCUGAAAGCCCAGCAGAAUCAGACCCCUAACUCUGGCUGGUGUUAAACAUGAAGGCAGCGUGCAGCUUUUCUCUUGCAUGGGUUCCCAUGUAGUACUGCUGACCUGCCUCACUGCAGCUACCCUGUUCAGGCCCUUGCAUGCCUUCAGGCUUUCCUUCCGAGAGUGCUUCUGAUGCCAGAGGGUUUUGGCAACAGUUGUAAUGUGCAUGAUUAUUUCCAGUGAGGAAACCAUUGGUGAUAACAGCAAUGAGGAGGUAUGUGGGUAUAAGCCACAGCUUGCUGAAGGCAUGAGACCAUUAGGGUAUGUAAGGAUAGGCUCCUGAUGCUGUCAGAGAGGAAGCGGCUCUGCACGUGAAAUAAUGUAGGGAAGGGAAUAUGCUAAACAUAGUUUAACUCCUGAGCUGCUCCCUGUGAAUAAAGUGUUUCCAAAAGCCUUCAGAUUCGGCUUGAGCUAGGUGCUCAUUCAGCUAAUGAAAACGUUACAUGCCCUCUGUCUAACCAACCUGAUGUAUUUGCUAAGCACUACAGCGAAAAGAGAUGCUUUUUGGUCACUUUUGUUGCCAUGUUCCCUGAUACCAAUGUUGACGUUAUAAACUCAAGCAGUAUUUUAAGUUGCUGUGAUCUUAAAAUUUUGUUUUCUUACGCAGCUGCCCAGGCCAGCUUACAUGCUGAUCAGGAUCUGCUGCAGCCUGGGAAUAAUCAGGCACCAGCUUCUUGGGCAGGCGAGUAAAUCCUUACUGACAUCAAUGAACUGAAAAAUUCUGAGGCCUGGCAGUGACAAAGGGAAUAGUGAAUGAGAGCAGUAUUUCUUUAUAUUGAUCUACCUUUCCUCAUCUACUAAUAACACUGACUGUUUACCCCCUGUAAUAAGCUGUGAUGGGUGCUAUGUGGGUCUUUGCUUUCCAGUUCUCCAGAAUCAGUUCACACAAACCAAGAAAUCUCCCAGUAAAUGAGCUGGCUAGGACUAGAUAAAAUUAAGUGUAUUAAUAUUGUUAAAGCUUGCAGUUCAAACUCUUGUUAGACAAAUUUAGACAUUGAUUUUAUACCUAAGAAUUCCUCUAACCAAUACUUAGUGUCUUCAACUCAGUCUCCCAGAUGGGAAGAGCAGACUCCCCGGAAGAGAAGGGAAGGGAUGGGUUCCCCAAAGCCACCUGGGGAACCUGGGCAGAUGCUGAUGACUUUGUCUUGAUCCAAAUCCCUUACUUUGUGGAGGAAAUUGGAGUUGAUUCUGUUCUUUGGAUUUCUGCUUUUAAUGGUACUUCUCGAGCUAUUUCUGUGCAUCAUCAAAGGUGGCAGUGUGUGAGCAAUUAAGCCCAAAAUAAUAUAAUUUUUCAUCAGUUUCUCAAUCAAGAUUUGGUAUGCUUUAAAGAUACAGGACUGUUUCUGAGAAGCACCUAAAUACAGGAUGAUUUUAUAGCCUGAGGAAAGUGCAGAGUGUGACAAGUGGAUGCAACUGAAGUUUGUAAGAUGAUGGAAAAAACUGUAAGGAACAAGGAUUUAAGAACUCAUAGUGUGCAUCCACACAACACAUAGUUAAACUGUGGAACUCAAUGCCCCAGGAUGUUGUGGAUAUAAAAAUUGUCUAUGGCCUUAAAAAGUGAUGAUGAAAAGUAAUGGUUGAAAUAAAAUAAAAAUCCAUCAAGGAGUACAAAAGCCAAAGCAAGAUACUGACUCUGGCUCAAUUAAUGAGAGCUGCUGAAGUCAAAGCCAGGAAGCUGAGCUGUGGAGGCAGUGGUAUGGAGAUUUUCUUUUGUGAUCUCUUUCCUAAGUGCCUUCCAGUGGAGAAGGAAAUAUGUCCUUCCUAAACAAGAUGCUUGGUCUGAUCCUUAUACAAUAGAUUCUGGCACAAGACUGUGUAGGUACUGGUAUGGUCCUGAGCAAUAGGUUGAUGUUAAGUGCUCCUUGAAUGUCAGCUGUGCUAUGCUGUUUAGCACACGAGCUUUUUGCAAAGAUCCUUAAAGUUCAUGCCAUUGGGUUGGCACAGCAGUGGGGCAGCUGAGGGAGAGCCCAAGAUAUCUCAGUAUUCAUUACUGGCCCACUGUCAGAGAUUACUGUCCUCAAUCCCCAAGUGCCAUCCUUGCCAUCCAGAGUACACUUUUAAAUGUGUCUUAAAUUACAGCAAUUUCUGAGGGUUUUUGUAAUCCGGUCACAGAUGCACAAACUCCAUCCUCGCAAGUCCUUUAUACGCUAGACCUGGCGAAAUACAGGCUGGCCAGUCAAGAUGAGAGGUCACUAUGCAAACCCUACCCCCACCCCUACUCAUUUUACCUUUAUACAGUUUGUGGGUGCAGUAGGAGGGUCCUGUGAGAAUGCUGUUGCUCCCCUCCUUUUCAUGCUUGGAGGAUCCAGCAUUUUCCCUGGGGUGCUCUCUCAUGGUCUGGAUUUCAGUUGGAACAGGACAGGGAGGUUGAAGACAUUAAAAACUAAGGCAGAAUGGGAGCCUGCAAAGAGCUAAGUCCAUGCCAAGAAUAGAGGCAAAGUGAGGCAGGCUAAAUCAAAUGUAUCCAAGAAAAUUUACACGGAUAUGUCUACCAAGGAAAAUACACACAUUAAUAGAAGCAGAGAUUUAGGUGAAUCUAAGGCAACUGCCUUAAAUUCACCACAGUUGCCUUUCCAGUAGUUCACUGGUUUUCCCCCACAGUAGUCUCUCAUGUUUACUUUGGCAUUUGUAGGGAAAAUGUCAGCGGAGUGCUGCUGUGAGUGUGCCCUGCUGUAUGAUGUUGAGCUGUUCCAGUACCACGGCAGCUAUUUUCCAACAGAUUAACAUUCAGAUACUGGGAGAGUUCAUCCAGUUCACAUAAAUCUGCAUAGAAAUUUUAUUAACUUAUAGCUUCUAUUUGGUGGGCCACCUACAAAAUGAAAACAGAUCUCUUGCAUUCUUGUAAGAUAGAACAGGCAAAAUUAAAAAAAAAAAAGUCCAUGAAAACAUAUGCCUCACUGAAAAAAUGAAAGUACUGAUCUUUCAAACAGUGGCAUUUGCGUUCCCAGCGCCUCUAAAUAAAAACAACAACUUAAUUGUCUACUUACUGGAUUCAUUUUUUCCUUGUUUGCACUGAGAAACAUGCCAGCGGGAAGGAAAAAUGGAUGUGAGCAAAAUUAAGGCACUGGGUUGGCACUUGGGAGAUCUGGUUUCAGUUCCUGGCUCUGUCAAACACUUCCUAUGUGACCUUGUAAAUGUCACUUUUGAGCAUGUAAAACCAUCUGGCCUGAUCUAGUGAAACAUGUAUUUAAUUUUAAGAUGCAAGUAGUUCCACUUACAUCUCACACGCCGAAAUUUAAAGACAUGUUUACAUGCUGUGCUGGUUGGCAGCCACAAGGCACGGCCACUGCCAGGGCGGAGCGCUGCCCUGCUGGCUUCAGGAUCCCGAUUUUGUCCCUUUUUGCCCCAGGUUUGUCAGGGCAGAGGCAGCCACCCUCCUGCUGAGUGCAGCACCAGCACGGUGAGCUCUCGUGCUCAGCACAGGAGUAAUACAAAUAAUUCACACUGAGGAAAGCUGUGGAUUCAGAUGCUGUUGUUGUAAAUAAAAUCUGCAUUUAGGCACUGAAAUAGUGGCUUGAUUUGUUAGAGUUGCUGAGCAACCAAUGCUCAUAAAGUCAAGAGCCCAUGAACGCUUUGUACUUCAGAAAAUCAGGUCAGUCAUUUGGAGGCUAAAAACAGAAACUGAACCCCAAUUUCAGUGCUUGAAAAUCUGCCCUCGUAUAUCUUCAGGUGUACUCUGAUGCUCUGUCCCUUGUCACUGUAACCAGCCGUACCCACAGACACUGCAUAAAGCUGAGAUGCAGAAGUAAAAAUAUCAUCAUUUAACCAUUUUGUUGUUCUCCAAAUGUAAUUAAAAAGACGAGUUCCACUGAGACGUUCUAAAUAUAUGUAUAUAAUAUACAUAUGUGUAGACACAUGUUUCUAAUGUAAAUGGUAUAUAUUAUGUUAUUUUAUGGCAGAGCAGAUGUUUCUUAAUUCCCUCCCACCGCACACUGAAGCAAGAUUAUGCCAGGCUAUUUUAUUGUGAAUAAUGUGCUUGCUCCGUCAUUAAGAGGGUUAUUAAAGACAUAAACAAACUUUUAUGCCCUGCUUUUCAACAGCUGCUGGUGGUCUACAAAGUGAUAAUCCUGCUUUCAGCAAAUAUUCUUAGACUUAAAAAUAAACAAGGAGAAAAUAAAUACGCCGCACAGGCACCCGGGCUGACUUGUGAGUGGGCAGAUCCGAAGUGUGACAUCUCAGUGCCAUGGAGGUGGAGGUGGCACUGCUUCUGAGCCAAAGCCUCAGACUGUGGGCUGGAAAUGAGAUGAGUGCUCCGUGCAUUGCCCCUUCCCUCUGCCACACGGGAACUCCUGUGCUAAGCAAAUGAGCCCGACUGGCAUUUAUUUCAGUGGUGAGAGCAGGAGAGCAACAAUUUAAAAGCAAAAAAGCAAAUGCUGGCUUUAAGGAAACAAACAAACAUCUUGCAAAAAUACAGCGUGCACAAUAGCUGUUUUUUUCCUUCCUAAUUAAUUAUGUGGCAGAGACACGGCUGCAGAUCCUGUAGCCUUAGCUUUGAAGAAAAUCAGCUGAGUACGUUUAAUAACUUCAAACAAAAGGGUAGGACGGGACAAUAAAGGUUACGUGGCCGUGUUCCGUCACAGGCGCAAUUGCUGUUCAUUUAAACGGAUGUGACCCCUACACGACAAAUCUCCAAAGGUGUACGGGGAAGAAGGUUUAUUCUUAUAAAUAGGACCGAUGCCAGGUCAAGCAGGCCCCCUCACUUUGGACUUCCUAAAGAAAACAGCUUCAGACAGCUGAGCAAAAGAGUUAUGGAGAGUGCUGAGAUAGGAAAUAUCCACGGUUCCUGAUAUAUUAUGGUUGGCCCAGGAAGCAAGGAAGCUGAGAGCCAAAGGUAGUCCUAAAGGUGCUAAACUGCACAGCGCUAAUGUACACAACAACAUCCUCAUACAAGCAGAUGUUUAAAAAAAAGAAGGGGGAGGGGGGGCUGGGAAUGGCAUUUAGGCCACGUUGCACUCACCCUAGGGAGGAAAACUAAAAAAAGGGGAAUGUGGAACCAAUUUUCAAGCUUGAGCAACUGAAAGUCUAUUAAAUGAUUCUGUCAUCAACAUGAGAUGAGAAAAAAAGUAAUAAUUUAUACAACAAAUUGGGUAAUUGUAGCUGCACGGACAAAUGAUAUUUCUUCCCUGAUAACUGAAUAAACAUUGUUACAAGAGGAAGGUUAUAAGGAAAUAGCCACUUUGGUGAACUACAAGCACCAGGUCUCUGCUUCUGUUCGUGUCAGACGACAGGCACUGCAGGCUGAAGGGCACAACGCUCUGAUCACAAACAAAUAUUCUGAGCUGCUUAGGGGAUUUUUUUUUCAGAAAAUGAGCUGAUAAAGAUGGGCUCAGCUUCAUGUAACUACAAGCAAUCUCAGCCCGAUUACUGCAUCAUGUCAAAUUUAAAUCAGUCUAAUUCUCUUGAAGAUACAGCAGCGUAAACUGGAGGAAUUAACAGCAGUAAUGUGCCUUAUUACCACUUAAUUCAUUUACUGAAACUAUUAUUUUCUUAAAGGUAAACUGCAUAAAAAGCAACAAAACAAACAGGACAAACCUGGAGUGGGCAUGUCCAGAAACCACGCCAUGGGAUUGCCGUGGGAGCAAUUCCGUGAUGCUGGGCUGUUGGGUAGAACCUUCAACUGAGCUCUGGAUACGGUAGCGGCCAGCCAGGGCCGCACCUGAAGCACACAGGCAGUCCAGCAGCCGGAGCACAUAUGGGAGCACAGGCACGGCAGCCACAUUCCAGAGCUUCAGGGCUUUGGCGCUGUAUUUUCUUUUCUGCCACAGCCUUCCUGCGGGACACCUGUGGCCUUUGCAUUGUUCUGGGCAGACCUGUGCGGGGUUGUGCCUCGGGGAGCAGCCCAAGCACCAGCAGCCCUUCCUGCCGGGUCACUGCUGAGAGCAAGCCCUUAAACAACGCACCCAGCCCAGGGACUCACAGCAUGUAGGCCUGGCCUCCAAACUUGUUAGCCCUCAGACCGAGGGGAAGGUUGCAUAUGUUUCCUUACAGGGCUCGUCUAAAGCACAAACACAGUUAGAAACUCACCUUCCAUGGGAAAUGGAGGGGGCUGUGCCGGUGCAGAGCCACACCAUGUGGCCAUGAAGGUGCCCGGCAGUGGCUUGCUUAUGGCUGCACAGUGGAAUGGAAAGGAUUGGGAGCACAGGGUGUUGGAUUGCUGUGGGCUGUUGGGUCGCUGGGGAGUCAACGGGACACAGGCUGCAGGGGCCACAUGUGCUGAAAGGCCAAGGGCCGGCUCCUCUGCUGCAGGCUGGGCCUUGAGGAGCUGAACAAGAGGAGGUACAAAGGAACACGGGGCUGUGCUAGGAUUGGUUUCCUGUUUUAUGUCUUUCUGCAUAUCCACUCUAUCCAAAUGCAGGCAUGUGUGUAAACAGCGCCAGUCCCCCAUGCCUGAAAUGAAAAAUAAUAAAAAUAUAUUUACAUGACUUUAACAUUAGGCUAUUAGAAAGCAGCAGUCAGUAUAACAGAGAGGAGAAAAAAUUACAAAGAAUGAUUUGCAUAGCAAACGCAUUUCACAGUUGUUUUGGACAAAUGCCCUCGGUAAAUAUGUUUAAAGUCAUGUACAACAAGAAUAUUUUAUCACAAGUAACCAUGUUUUAAUAAACACUUCGUCUUUUGGUAUUUCAUUCUUUCUCAUCAUAAUAAUAGAAAUAUAACACCAUAUAUCACUGUAAAACACAUUUCCACAUAAAUGCUGAUAAGCACAAAAUAUUUUUCAUCAUUUACAUUUUAACUGUAAUAAUAUAUGGCAGGAUUAAAGCUGCAUCCAUCAUGUGUCUAACUAACCUUGCUGUAAUGAAUUUUUAAAUGUAAUGGUUUCUGUCACAAAGUAAAAUCAUACAUAAUAUCUUUUGACACAGUAUUCUGGCAGUACGCGAGGUUUUAAAAUGUAAAUGCAACUUCAUUUUUAAUUAGAUUUAUAAACUCUAAUCGCUAUUUUCUUUUCUAUAAACCAAAGGGGGAAAGAAAAAACGUGGGGCUGCACAAAGCCUGCGAGUUCUUCCUUUUGGAAGCGGGCACGCACCCAGGAGGAGGGAGCAGGAACAAAGGCCAGGCACCGCGCACCCACCUCGUGCCACCACCAGGAGCCGGCCAGCGGAGCUGCAAGGACAGCAAGGACAGCAUGUCCCCAGCCCUUGCCCAGCGCAGCGAACAGCCCGGCUUGGAGAGGAGAAUCAUUAAAAAUAAUUUGCAGGAGCUUUCUGUUCAGUGAGCCCUUUUUUUUUUGAUACAAUAUUUCCUUCAGUGAUUAUCGCCACGGACAUGUUCUGCCAUAUGGAUGGAGCCGGGCGAGGAGGCGGCUCAAUACCUGAGUGGUUAAUUAAGAGCUGUUGCUGGGCCACAAGAAGCAGGUUUGAAAUCCCUCUUCACUCACCGACAAUGAGUAGCUUUUUUAGCAGCAGCAGUCACUGGGGACAGCCAGAAGCGCAGGGUAAUUAUUUGAGAUAACAUAGAGCUGAAGAGCGCGUGUGCGCGCCCAUGUGUGCGAGGGGGAGCCGCGCCGGCAAGGAGGGCAAUGCUACAGAAAGUUUACAAUACAAAGGUCAACAUCUCCUAUUUUUCUGUACAGUGUCGGCAGUCUGUAAUGCCUUUUUAGAGUGAAUGACAAUGGAUUCUAUCUUUUUUUUUUUUCCUCUUAAAAAAUGAAUAUCUUAUUUGGUAUUCAAACUUCGCAACUGUGAGCGUGGGGCAGCUGGGCCAACCUGAACGAGCCAUGCUCACGUUAUUGGCGCGGAUGAUGAAAUGACUUUGAUUGCCUUGUUGCAAAGUAGCAGUAAUUCCAACAUUAACUCAUGGAAACACUGCAUACUCUCAAGAACAAAGGAGAAAAGCGGUGAAACAAAAGCCAUGAAUGAACUGAAGAACGUCCUUAACACAGACGUUUAGGGCUAAAUUCUCAGCACACUGCCACAGGAACAGCAGAGACUGUUGGCUUUAACCAGGGGACUCACCUGAGUCAGAUGAGUGUCUGGGCUUUGGCUACCACAUUGUUUGUGGUCAGGGGCACCUGGAGGUACCACUGAGGCCCUUCAGAACAUCAGUGUUCUCCAGCAGAGAUGUUCAGGGAUGCUCUUGUAGCAAUGCAUCCUGCUCAUUAGUUCUCCCAAAUGACAAAAAGCAGCAAAGUAGCUUAUAAAAGUGUUAUUUUCUACAGUGCUUCAUCUCUGAAGUGUUUAUGAAGUGCAGGACCAAGGUGCCAUUCCAGCCUACCACUGCCCAGUAUUCAGAUAGAAAGCAAACUAUGAAGCAGUGCACUGAAGUCCAUUUCAUUUCUCAGAGCUGCAGAGAGUAUGAGCAUCUGUUCUCUAACCAUCAAAGCUCAUCUACAUCAGGAGCUCAGAAUGCUAUUUCCCUGUUUGUUUGUGUGUUUCUAAGAAGGUCUUUCUACUCCUUUACUGAGAAGCCAAAUGAUGAAACCUCUGUCAUGUGUUUUUGGCAUUUCCAGAAAAUCCCACAUGUGAUUUCCAACUUAGGAGGCUUAAAUCUCCAUCCAAACAGGCGCUGUGUGCAGCUCACACAAGCAUUUAGCUUUGUGCUGUAGGGUAAAAAUAAAUUCAAGAGAGAGAACCUUCAUCUUCCUCCUCUCUACCUCCAUUUUCACAUCCUCCCAGAUGCUGGGAACAGCUCACCCAGAAUGACAGGAGACUUUGAGCAGAGGCAAUGGGAGGACAUGCAGUUACUGGGCAUCAACCAAAGCCCCAGACUAUCUGUUGGAGGGGGACAAGGCGUACCUGUGCCCCUGCUCUUUCCCAAGGCAGAUCUUGCAACCUUUGAUGUUCCUCCAGUGCAAACAAUACCACUCCAGCAGCGGCACUUUUGCCAGUGUAACUGUCUCAGCUUUGUUUAGAGACUGCCCAAUAUGUUAAUUAUCUUCUUUACCUCGGUGGCAUUAUACUGUCAAACCAUACAACAGUCUUUAGAAAAUAAAAGCUAACACCCUAAGCUGCUGUACCCGGAUCCCAUAAUAUCUAUUCACUGACAAUGCCUGAGCUGUCAGAUCAGAAGAAGCUUCAUUCGAAUAAAGGUGGGCAGAUGUGUGAUAAUGAGACAGAAGCAUACAGAUGCUAAUAUAACUGUUCAGCAGAGCAGGCUCGUCUUCGUUAGGCAGACCCAGGUAGCAGCUGCAGACUGUCAGACACUGGAAUGCUGCUUUCUCUUGAUUCUCAUUUAAGAUCAGCUUCGUUCGCUGUCUGUCAGUGAACUUUUCCCUCACAGGAGCCUGGACCCCUAGGUGAUCAGUCACAUUUCGACAUAACUAGAUGUCAAAAGAAGUUUAAGUUGUAUGACGAACUGUGAUGCAUUCCCUGUGCUGGCUGGCAGUCUCAGCCCUCCAAGGCGUCUUGUUAAUGAUCCACCUGGAAACUCUAGAGUAUUUCCCGUAUUUUGUUUUCUUAUUAAAAUACUGGCUAAGCCUUUGUCAAUAUCCAUGUCAGCAACUGUAAGCUCAAGACAAUAUUAUCACAAGCAUAAUUUGAUUUAAAAACAGAGCAGUGGACCGACACUGACCAGGUGGCAGGAGACGCACACGGAGAGAGCAGGAUGCAGGCGUUGAGCUGCUGUGAUUUAGCAUCAUCAAUUAAAACAAAAUAUUGCUGAUUUUCUCCUGGGCAGAAGCAGGGAAAAUGUAACUGAAGUUGCCCUAUGCAAUACGUCUGCAGCCAGGCAGCCAGCUCCACUGAUGAACACAACCAGGAAUAAGAUAAUGGGGAGCCUCCACAGAUGAGCACACAAUUCAAAUACGCAGGAGCUCGGAAACACAAAUAACCCGAGACUGUCACUGCACGUACUGCUGGAACCUUUCAACCAGGAGUCUCAACUCUGGCAGCCUUUCAUCUGUUGCUCAGAGCUGUUUACCCGCUCACACUCCUGUUUCAGAGAGCAGACAGGCUGAGGCUAUUUUACAUAACGUACACACGUGCCCACACAAUGCAAACUCUACUACCACAGUUGUGCAGCAAGGCCAAAUAUCGCCUGCUGCUCAGUCGUGUCAUACCAGUCUUCACAUUCCAUCUCAACUCCCCUCCUUGCUUCUCAGCAUUUGAAUUUCAACCUUACAGUUCUUGUUAGGAUCGCCAACAUAACGUGUCUGGGUACAAUUAACAGGUUUCUUACGUUCUUAAAUUUCUGAAUUAAAAGGCCACGGGGGAGGGAUUCAAUGAUUUAUGAGAUUCUUCCUUUUCUUUUUUGGGGGUGGGUGCAUUGUACAAUGCGUAUCAGCCUGAUGCUUGCAUUAUGUUUUCAUUCGAGAGCAGCUAGAUUAACAGAAUUGCUGAAAUCACAGAAUCUAAAACGCAGCUAUUGCUCGUCAUCAGAAGCCCAUGAUGCUUAAAGGGAACAUGAGAAGGCAGGCAGCUCCAUCCACGUUUGUGCGGAGGUUUCUGGCAUCUCCAGGGCUGUGGGAAGGCCACAGGGAGAGGCAGGUCCCACACCAUGCAGCCUUUGGCUCGAGCCACUGCUGCUUGCAUUUGUUCCGUGCACACAAAUCCAGCUUCUAAUGGUGAUGAAGAGUAGAUUUGGCAAUCUGGUGCUUUCCCUGCUUUCCCCAUAUCAAUAUAAUUCUUAAUUAAACACUUCUCAUGGCCAGUUGAUAUUCACUAAUACUUUCUAAUAUAAAGCAAGAUGUCUCCCCCUAGAUUCUGGUGUUUAGUAGCCUGAAGCUCAUUAGUGCAUGUGUUCUCACCCAGGAGUUUUAAAUAUUUAACUAGCUAGGAUUCUUGAAAGAGGUCUUAACCUUAUAAUUUGUAAUAACUUGGGGAUCUCAUAUCUGAAGUGUAAGUUAUUAAAAAUGUUUCUUCUCUUCACCCUGCAUUGAUUUCCUACUUCUAGCAAUCACGCUAAGAGCUAUUAGGCCAAACAACUGCAGCUGCCUAUUUAUUUCAUUGUAGUAAAACACAAGUGAUGAUAAUAGAUUUCCUAAUAGAGAUUGAUCUUGCACAAAAGCCAAAAACAAUGCACGUACCGCCUGGGUAAUACAGUGCAUUAUACAUUAUGCACUGCAUGGUUAAAAUCGUGCAGCUAGAGAAUAAUACAGGAAGGUCCACAAAAAUGAGUGUGCUGACUGAUAUAUCUUUGCACGGAAGCACAUUACUUCUGUUGCUUGUAAUGGCCUGAACAUGUGAUACAAGUAAAUUUUGUCUAAAAAUUAUCUAAGGACCACCUAAUGUGCUCUGAUGCUACUGAAUGUCAAAAAUGUCAGCAGCUUCCAGUAAUGACUCUCUGACAUAAACAGUAAGGGAGAAAUAUUACAGUUGCUGAAGGAGUUGCGAGGACAAGCAUGCAUUUUCAUGAGAGGUCUCUUUGAAUGGCAGCAAGUACUCAAGCAGGCAGCGUUCCCUGCCAGUUAAGCUGGCCAAAGAAAGCGCGCUUCCCCUGAAAGACAAUUAAAAUGAGUUAAAUGAAUUAAAAGGGCCCUGCGCAGUUAAAACAUGGUCAGAGGUUAGAAAUGGUAGUAUCUGGAUUUAUGAAAACCACGUGGCUGCCAAGCCUCAGAAAUUGUGUGUAACAAGGGAGCCAUUCGAGCAGCAACAUAAACAGCUUUAUAAAAUUGAGGGAAAUAUACAUAAUUCUUAAUUUCUAGGAGAUUAUUUUGUCAGCAGUUUUACCAUCUUAGGACCUGGGUAAAAUACUGAUUUUUAACAUUUGAUUUUUAUCAAGCCGCUUUCCUAGGGAGAGAGACUGCCAGUGUAUUUGCGACCCAGGAGCAGCAGAUAAAUGCAAUGCCCUCCCGUCUGUUAGAGAUGUUUAUGGAAGGAGAGGUGACAUUCGCCUGUCACUCUUUUCCUUUUUUUUUUUUUUUUUUUUUUUUUUUAGAGAGAGAUGAAUUAUAACAGGGAAGGGGAGAAACAUGUCUUGGACCUAAAUCAGGACCGCGUAACAGCAGUCCCCACAGUUCCUUUGUGUGAAGACCUCCACCUGCAAUCAGCUAUUUAGCUCAGCUGUUUAUGCAGAAGCGUAAUUACUCGCAGAUAUGUAAGUAUUAAUCUUGCAGCAGAAACCCAGAAUGCUGGAAUAUACUUUUUUUACCCGUUACGUACACAAAGUCUAUCAGAAAGCAUUUGUCUCCCCGCUCUUUAUUCACUUUCAAAGGGUUAAACAGCCUAUUUACAGGGCUGUCAGCAAGCUGUAUCCCAAAUCAUGAAAAAGUCUGGCCUAGUUUUGUUCAGCAUGGAGACUUGUCUUCUUGGCCUGUUGUUGUUACCAUCAUGUAAUAUCCAUGACAAUCGUGUUGUGCUUUUUAGGGGCUCUGUAGUGCUAAAUCUGAGGGGCCACUUUAAGCCAGUAAAGGGCUUUAUUUAUGUGGAUUUGAAAGAGUCUUGUGAAGGGCCUUCCACUCAAAAUCCUCUUCAGCAGGUCAUCCUGGUUUCAAAAGGAUUUAGAUGCAGAGGCAGUGAUCAGUACUUCUAUCACGUUCUAAUAGACUGACAUGAGCAUUUGUGCCUGAAAGACAGGGGGAAAAAAGUGAUGCAGAUUUGCCCUAAAUUGGACUGAUGCACAAAGCGGAGCGUGCAAUUGACUGACGAGGUAACCCCUCACACCCUGCCUUUACACUUCUAACCGGUGCCGCACAAAGAGGGAGCCGUGGGAAGCUGCAUGGGAGCAAAGCAUAUCCAUUUUCAUGGACCAUAUGGAAAUUUUGUUUUGUGUACAGAGAAAGUGUCUGAUAACAGUGACCUUAACUGCCAUAUGUGUAUGGUGAAUAGUAAACAGAACAAACCACUCAGCUCUCUGACCCUUAGCAUAUGGACAUCUCUACCAAAGGAGAGUUUUCACAGCACAUCCACUUUCACUGUCAUCUCACUGGUAACCCAGGGGAUUUCACUAGAUUUGUUAAUGAAUUGCUCUAUUGACUUAUAUCUGAGCUUGCCUCAUUAGAGUAGAAGAACAAAAUUUUUAUCUAUGUUUUCGUGAAGGGGACCAGAAUGCCCCUCCUUUGUUCAGAGGUGGGUAAUCUGUAGGGCUGUCAUCUGUUUUGAACUAAUUUAUUGUGUCAGUUUAAGAAGGCUCUUCAGUGUUCAUUGAUACUGAAGCUCCACUCCAAGCCUCUUUAAAUCAAUUUUUUCCUUGUGAGUGGAAUGUUUUUUAGGCCCCUGCUUAGUUUACAAAUAGCUGAACAUGUUGUUACCCUGGUGCUGGCUAGCUUCAGAGUGCCAAAUACAAGCAAACUCAGUGAGCCUCCAUAGCACCACCUGUCAUGAAAUGGCUUUCAGAGUGGCUACAAGCCUUGUACAACCUUGUCCCAUUCACCUUCCCCACCCACCAUCACUCAGACAACAGCUCUUCAUAAACUCGCCUGUACCAAACCAGACAGAAGCAGUACAGAAACGGAAGAUGUGCAUAGGUCAUAAACGUCCUUAUUUCUACCAUGCUGCCGUUAGUGAUGGGCCAUUGCUUUAGGAUUUCCAGAGUUUGAAAUACAGACUGGCCUCCGAUAACUACACCGUGACAGCCAUCAAUUAACACGUUAUUAAACAGUAUACCAAUAAAGAACACAUUAUGCCUAAUGGCCAAUGUGGAAUCAGAAGGAAUUAGUAAAAUGAGAUUCGAUAAAAUGCAAACCAUAAAGAUAAGCUUCUGAAGAUUGGAUCUGACUUUUUGUCCCUGCUUUAAAGGAAAUAAAUGGCCAGUGCAGUGAAUUCCUUUCUGCUGCUCCUCUACCUGCCUUGAAUUCACAACACACCACGCACUGUGGGCAGGAACAGACACUGAGGGCACUGGAGUGUGACACUUGGGACAAACCAACACAACAUUACAGCUUUUUUUUUUUUUUUUUUUUUUUUUUGUCUCCAGGCAGAACACACAGUUUUGAUGAUUCUUUUUCAGAUCUAGACUAAAGGACCUUGAAGACAGAGGAACAUGCAGAGCCCUGCACCUUUCCAUAACCAGGAAGUCAAACUUGCAGACUUGCUGGGCACCGGCAUAUCCAUUUGGCCCUUCUCCCCUUGCUGCCUAUGCAAACCAACCUGUAUUUAAAAUCUACGACAGAGUCCAUCAGUCCAUUAGUUGCAAUCAGUUCCCCAGAAUCAGAACUCAGAAGAACUAUAUAAAUAGCUGCCAUUUGCAGCAGCCAUCUUGGCAUGCUGCGCUGCUGUCAGUGCAAGGCAUGAAGGAAAAUUCCCACUGCCAAUCUUAUAAUGUGAAGAGUUGUGGGGGCUUUUGGUAACAUUAGUAUGAGAAUGAAAAAUACAAAUCCAACAAGACCUUUGUGUCCACCCAUGACAUAAGGGAGUGAUGCGAGUUACUGUCACUUCAGUUGCCUUCUGUAGUAAAGCAGACCAUGAAGGUCCCCUGCACAGUCCGAGAUGGAAACAAUUUUCACUGAAUAGUGGCCAAAUCCUACAGUCCUUACUCAAGCAAAGCUCCCGGUGAACUUCCAACAGCAGCUUUCACUUGACAGGAAUUCCACUACUAGCAGUCGAUGUUUUUUCAUACUGCUGGCCAAAGUGGAAAGUGUGGUGGAGUGAAGUAACUCUUAAUUCAACUUAUGCAGACCAUUUAUGCCUGUGUACUUUCUGCAUAGUUUAACUUUUGGAAUCAGCUGGCUCACGUUACUGUGAGGUUUUGUAUAAGGCUUUGGCUAUACUAGACUGACCAGCUCCAAGCAAACAGCACAGCAAGGCGGGCUGAAGAGCUCCUGAACACAAUGCCCUACCUGCACAUCAGGAGGUUACGCCGGCUCCUUGCUCUGCAGAUGCUUUUCUCCGAGUUGCCAUGGAGCCAUUGGCUCACCCGGAAUCAACUCUGCCUGCACAAAUGACUCAUCCUGCUACCGAAAUCUAUGUGUAGAGAUUGUUAUUAAGAAUCCAAUAUUAAUCAAGCCAUGGUAUUAGAGUUGUCAUAGUUAUUUCCUACUCUGAGCACAGCAAAUAAUGACAUCCUAUUAUUUCAAAUAUCACAGUGAGAGAAGUGUGGGUAAAUACUAAUUUUUCCACUGGAAAAAUUAUGUUGCAUGUUGCACAUCAAUAAAUACUGAGAUGUGAAAAGCAAUCUGAGAGUAUACAGGGAACUAGAAACACAUUUCCUCAGGGUUCACUCCUUCACCGGUUGGCACUGCUGUCCAACAUCUGCACCACUUCCUGAGUCAAUCCUGUGCUUUACACUGCCGGAGUACACAACACCUGGCACACCAACUAGCAGACACUGAGCCUUUUGGGGCUGCAAAGUUUUAUUAUAAGUUUUUAAACAAAAAGUACAUAAGCAAAAUGCUUACUUCUUACUGCAGGUUUUUUUGUUUGUUUGUUUUGGUUCCCAAAUCUUGUCUUAUAUGGGAAUCAGUUUAAAUCCAUUUGGAUAAUUUAUGUUUAUUUAAUCUAGGAAUCCCUAGAUGAAAUCUGUCAAAAGAAAUUAAAGUAAGUCCCAGUUGCCAGUGCAUGAAAAAAUAUGAUGCUAUCACUAGGCACAAUUAAAUGGUGGUCAGAUCACUUCUAGCAGGGAAACUGGUGGUUUACAGGUAUGUAAGCCUGCAACUUUAAGAGAUUCACAAAAACCGAAGUUAAUUCUGGCAGCAUUUCUAUGUUGCUUCUCUUAUUUUCGAGUUUUUUGUUGUACCAAAAUUCCUAACUAAGCCCACUCUUUUCUUAUUGCUUUGUUUUCCCCUCUAAACCAGGCUUUUUAAAACAAGCAGAAAAAGGUCCAUAACAACAAAACUACCCCAGGUUUAUCAGUUGUUUUCAGACUGGAGUUCAUAUUUGAUUUCAACUGUGAAAAGAAAAGAAGCGUAAAGCAUUCCCCAUUCACUCAUACACCAAAACAAGCCUGCAUAUCAGCACUAUAUGCAAUCCCGGACUUAGAAGUUAUCUUAGACUGAAAAACAAGGCUGGGUGCUGAUGGUUAAAACUCUAACACAGCUGCAUGGAAAGAUCCUGCUGAAAAGCUGCCCAGUGUGCUUGACUCAAGGCUGAGGUGUUCGACCUUCCCCUUCCUGUAUCUACAUGACAACACAGGAAAGGAGAUAGUUAGAAGAGAGUAGAGUGAUGGGAACAUUGGGAUAUUUACUACACUGUACAAGAGAUGGCAACAUAAAUAAUUCACUAGGACAAAUACUAACUUUGGAAUUUCAUUUCUAUUUGUACUGUGAUACUGCACCUGCAGAAAAAGUAGGUACAGCAGAACUCAAACAGUACAGUAUCAUACGUCAAUGGGCUAACCAUAUAACCCUUAAACAUCACAGAUUUGGCAGGAAAUGGCUUCAUUAAGCACAGGUGCGUGGGACACUUAUUAGCUACCAGAGAAAUUGCUAUAAUAAUUACAUGAAAUCAUGGCUAAUGACUAGUAUCACAGGGUGUUUCGCCUUAUCAGAUGGAAUAUUCACACACCCAGGAACAGAUACAACAAACAGUAAGUACAGGAAUUGGGAUUUCAUGCCACACAUUUCUUUUCUGUCUAUUAUGGAUCUGUGGAGCAGAUCUAUAGGGAUCCUGUAAUUACUGCUAGGAAUUGAUCAGCAGAUCAGAAACACUGACAACUGCUUAACUGCAUUUUGCAAAAAACCUCUCAGGUUCUGUUUGUUUUUGUUUCACACUGGAACGAUAACAAAACCUGCUAACUGCUCCUGCAAAAUUCAUUAGCUUCAAAUGGUUGGGCUGGCAUGGAAGGUGCCAGGCUUCAGGCUCCUGCUGGCCACUCCAAGAGAGCAACGGAGAGAAAGUGUUCACAGCACGCCUCAAAUGAGGUUCCUCCUAACAGGAAUCUGUCUCUCCCUCCCCCCCAAAAAUAUUUGACUCUCUCUCACUAGCAAGGAAAUAUAACAAGUUGGAAAAGGAGUGGAAUAAAAUAUCUUAAUCAACUUGCUUGCUAUAAAUAGAAGUAAAGGACCAUUGAAAACCAACUGACAUACUUUCACAUUGCAACGCUAAGUCCUCCAGAGGACCUUCAAGAUUGUGCCACCCUGCUCGGAGGUGCAAGCAAGCUGAGGGCUUUUUGUGCAUCCUUCGCCUCGUGACGUUAUUUCCAUCAGAAAAAGCUGGAAGCUGAAACUGUGACAACUUGCACUGACCCAUGGGAAUGCAAACAUCUAUCUCCUGAUAACACGUUGAGAUAAUGCAUGUCACCACUGCAGCCAGCAUGAGGACACUUGUCUUCACUUAUUUUAUAUCCACUCUAUCACAUUCCUGGCUGCAUUUCCCUAUCUUUCCUUUCAACACACUCCACGCAUUCCUCCGGUGAAGAGCACAACUUGCCCCAACACAACUGGGCACCACAACUGCGCUUUCCUUCCCACAGCUGAAAAAAACCGCCAGCUACUUAAAACUGCUGUUCUAGAAGGUCAGUUUUUCACACCCUGUUAUGGGAGCAGCCUUCUUUUCUCUUUUCACAGGGAGUUUGGCUGCUGGCCGCAGCUAGGCUUUCCUCCCACAAGACACAAACACAGUGUUACACUCCGUCUGUGUUAUCUGGAAAGCACCCAGCAAAAAGCGCACGUGCAAGACUCCUUGUUUGCUCUCCAUUAUUCUAUUGAUAACUCCUCCAUUGUGUUGAAACCAUCAGCAUAUUCUGCAUCCUAUUCACCACAUUAGCCAAGCCUCUAACAUCACAAACUGUAACAGAACCCUUAUUUUUAGAACUUGGUGACAUUUUUGCUGGGUACAGACUCUGGACAAAAAUAUUACAUUAACAUGGGCGUUUCUGGUGGUGUGUGGGGGAACAGGAAAAGAUGCUGAACAAAAGCAAGAAAUAUUAACGUGAAAAUUCAUGUUCUGUCUUUUGCCUGCUCCAAGGGCACAGAAUGGGAGCAGAGGAGAGAGAAGGGGAAAACCCCAACCUGGAAAUAUUUCAUUUUGCAGAAAUGUAUUUGUGGAGUAUUCCUGUCACUGGAAAAUAAAAGCAUUACCCACGAUCAUGGGAAAGAAAACACCUCACACUGUUUUUAUUUUCAGAAAACAGCUAUAGUCUUUGCUUUUAAUUUUCUAAAAUUCAAAUAAAAUUGCAUUGGAUCAAAUUUAAUGCUUUGCUCAAUGGAUUUACAGUGUUUUAAAUUGGUCCAUUCAGCACUGAAAUUACAACCACCAAAACUGCAAUGCCUUUCAGGUGUCUGCACAAGGCUAAAGCAACUGAUAUUACCUGCUGGGCUCCAGUGCAGAGCUGAGGGAGCUCCUCCUGUAUUCGGCAUUACCUUGAAGCAGAGAGUCAUUUGUCUCUGUUUCUACCUCAGAUUUCUUCUGUCCCUUCCCCUUGAGAUGAUACAUUGAAGUAAACCAUUUUUCUGGUGAUUAAGAAUCCAACCUAACGACCGCCAGAUUCGCAAGUGUGGAUUUCAACAGGUGUCAGAUGUGACCUCAGUUGCUCUGUUGGGACCACAGACUCUUUACUUCUGACUGCUAAUUUUGUCUCAUCCACCGGGUCUGCUUACCAAGGAAUUUCCACUGGGGAUAUGGAAUUCACAUUUUUGAUGAUGAUGUUGCUAUCUUAUGCCUUUACAGUAUAUUUUUUCUUUGAAGGACUUCCCCCUCUCCCUCCACUGCUAACCAACUACUAUUUAUCACUUGUGUUGUGGCUUCUAGGUGAUGUUGUACACAGCGCAGUGAAUUACUCUAAAAUUCAUCUCGAGAGGCAAGCAAUGUGAUUUGUUACCUACCUGGCGCCAGAAAAGCAUGCAGCUUAGGAUAUACAUUUUAACUGGAGAGAAAUUAUUUGAAUUUAGAAAUAAGUGAUUUUUCAGUUAAACUUUUACCAGAUGCUGUAUUGUGUUAUAUACCAAAUUCCUGGAAAAGCCAGGAAAACGACUCCCAGAGUCUCAUACUCAGUGUAGGAAAUAACAUUACCACACACGUCUGAGGGCUCAGAUUUUUUCCUAUGGGCAUCCUGUGGGCACAGUUCAAAAGGCUGUGUGUAUUCAUAUAUAUAAUUUAAUACAGUGACCGAUGUUCACAACACAAAUUGCACUAUCAGUUUAUAGCUGUAUAGUAGCUAUGCACCUGCUCUAACCUCCAGACAAAUUACCACAGAACCCGGUGUUUGCUAAUGAGAUAUUCACAGACUCUAAAGCUGAAAAUAACAUUACCCCAUUUGCCUAAAAUCCUUCAGGCCUAUCAGCUUGUAGGCAGUUGUCCUGGAAAACAGCUCUGCUACAUAAUGCAAAGUUUAGCAUGCAGGAGGAAGGAACAUAUACUGGGUCUGAGGGCUGCAGAAGAACAUUCUUCUUUAACUAAAUAUGUUGUGCACCAAAGAAUAGCAGCUGAUCAGAUCUGUGAAGAUGUAUUGAAGAAGAAGGAUGUAUUACUGAGGUUGAUGGCUCAAAACUUUGCUUUUACUUAUGUCUGGAAAUGCAUAGGCAGUUGGUGCGCAAUCUGAGAACUCUGAGAGCAGUCCACAAACAAAGCAUGGUCUGAAGAGACUAAGAGAACAAGAAAUGGGUUUGUGCUUUUAUGGAAAGUUUCCAGACAUUCUUCAGACAUUGCCUUAGGUACACUGCAUUUCAGUAAUCCAACUUAAAAACCCAUGAAUAAUUUUAUAAUAGCUCAUGUGCAAAUUCAAAGAUUUGCAAAACCCAUUGUUGCUUAUAUGGCUUUUGAUAAGAUUCCUCAAUGAAGAGAGAACAAGAGUUUUAUUUCUCUAACUUCCAUCAGUUGCUUCUACCAAGAAAGUUCCCUAGAAGCCUCCCGUUCAAUUCCCAGGUUGGAGCAAGACAAGGGGGAGCACAUGGUCUGUGCUCAGCUGUGAUCUCUCUUCUCCCAAAAGACAUUCUGGACAGAUACAGUAAGUACACACUUUUUCAGAGUAUGAGCCCUCCUGGCCUUGAGGCCAUGGUCAGCAGGAGGGGUGACAAAGCAGACGCCUGUGGUGCAUGACUGCAGUCAGGGCAAAUUAACAAGUGCCCCUUCUAUUCACAAAGAGAAAAGAAUGGAGCCAUUCAAGAGCAAACCCAUCUGUCCCUGGGAGGGUUCACAAGAGUGUCAGAGAAACCUCACAGCCAACAGUCUCUAAGUAGUGGCACACAGGCAUCCUGCAGAAGCAGCACUUUUGUCCACGGGUAGAAGCUCCACUGUCAGGAUGCUGUUUUCACAGCAUCUGCUUGCAGACUGAACAGAACUUGUUAGAUUCAAAGUCUGCACAGUGCUACCUUUUCUAAAAAGCAAUGGGGAAACAAGACAACGCAAAACUGGCAAUUUUCACCACUAAGUGAGGAUUUCUUGGGCGUGAAGGAAACAACUCUUAUUUAAUAACUGCCUGGUUAAUCACUUUGCCACACAAAAGGCAUGGACAAAGGAGGUGGGAAACCACCAUUACAGCAGGAAACAAACCAAUGCCUUUCCUAAGUCUUUAAAUGAACACAACUGUGUUCACAAGCAGUCAUCUCACCAUGCCUCAUGUCUGCAUUAGUUAUGAUCACUGGCACAACCCUGAAAAUACACAUCGUAGUAACUGCAUACAGUGAUGCCUGCCUGUAUUUGCAGAAUGCAGGGCAGACUUCUAAGGAGCUCGCUCUAUCUCACACAUAUCAGCAGAUGCCAAGUGACAAAAUGUCAACUGUCAACGUUAUGAACUCACUGCUCAUCAGGACACAGAAGAGAGGACUGGAUCAUGAGUAUCUGUACAUUUGCUGGGAGUGCUGAUCUCAUUUUAGCACCUCUAAGGAGAUGCCUAGGAGAAUGCAAAAGACCUCUGGACUUUUUGAAAGUUACUGCUGCAGGAGAAGAUCAGAACUUACACCAUUCCAUGAGUGGAAACCAGUGGGCACUCUUCAUACCCCUGAGUGAAGUCCAAGCCCGAGGAAUUCCAGGCGAGCAUGGCCCCAACUUCAAAAUUUGCACAACCAACAGAAGAGGUCCAUCUCAUCUAUGCAGCCUGAAGAAUUACAGUGUUAUUUGCUGCUCAGUAGCAAAUCUGAGCAGUUCUUUCUCCAAAGCAGAUCUAAUAUUGCUCACCACGUAGAAAAUGCAAACCUGGUUUUAUCAGCCUCCUUACUCCCUGUCAUAACUUUUGAGCAUGCGAUAAAUGGCUGGGGAAAGAUGAUGAAAACCUUCUUUGGUCCCUCUUAGGUCAUGUAUCUUAAUUUUUUAAUUUUCAUCCUGUAACAGCUGCCAGUAAGUUACAAUAACACAGAUUAAGAGGGUCAUUUAGGGGUUGUUGUGCCACUAACUGAGAAAAGAAAAUAGCAGUCUAUCAGGCCAUAGAUAACAUAUGGAACAAUAGUCCUCCCAUCUCAAAUCAGUACAGAUUCAGUAUUCUCCCAGAGUACUCUCUUCCCUUUUCCCCUUCAGGAAGUGAAAUUCAAACUCUCUAGCUGUGAUGGGAAGAAUUAUGUACCCUUUCUUCACUCCAGACGAAAUGGCUACUGCCAAUUUGUCCAGCUUUAGAUUCAUUUGCUAUUUUGGAAAAGUGCUUUGAUGAACCUAAGACCCAUGUCUUGCUUUACUCUGACAACACUUCUGCUUUUGUGUGCCAAGAAGAGAUGUAGAGAAGCAAACUACGGGCAUAAGAUAUGAUCCUGAACACUUACAGCAAAAUUGCAAUCACUGCUUCCAUAGGUUGAUUAGGAAUUGUUCUCUUCCUUCAUACUUCCAGAAACCAACAGGCUCAGUUUCCUUUCAAUCAAAAUACCUCUCCAAAUAGGGUCAGAGCCCAGCCAAUCCUGUAGCGUGGGACAGCUAAUCCAUAGUAAGGAAUAUUUUUGCAUCUGUGUUCCUCUUUUAAGAGCUUUUGAGAAGGGUUGUGCUGAAAGAGAUUUUUUCUGGGGCAGCACAAUGAAGUCUCAUUGGUUACAUGCCACAGAGAGCAAAGGCAGUCUCACAGCGAGCACAAACAAGGCUGAUGCAGGAGGAGCCCAUCGUCUAGGAGGAACGGUAAAACUUGCCAGCUUCCACUACGGAUGAGGUUUCAGAUAGAAUGGUAUAAACACUGCCACGGAAUUACAUGUCAGCUGCUUACCCCAAACUGGCCACUUUAUAGUGGCUCUUGAGUACGUGUCGCAUUUUUCACCAUUAAAUGGAGAGUAGAAAGAGCUAAUAAUAAAAAAAAAAGAAUACCAAACAAUCAGAACAUAAAAGUGUAUGGCCUCCAUAAAAUAACACAUUUUUCUUUUCUUAAUGUUUCAGCUGCCUGAAGAAUACUUUUCUGGUGUAAAAGAGAUAACUAUAUAUCUUCUGAUUUUAUUGGCUGCAGAUUACACUAAUUAUCAUAAAAAAUUAC